AAGGCCUUAGUUUAAUAAAAACGUCUGAUUUGCAAUCAGGGAAUGCGAGUUAAUGUCUUGUAGGUCUUA
rnacentral:tRNA from 1 species